CCCGGCGCGGCCUUCCAGGGCUUUCUCUGCCGCUCCGAGGACGCCGCGGCGACCCCCGCCGCCCAGACGUGCGCCGGGCGCUGCGUUUUCGCUCGCCGCCCUCCCAGACGGUGCCCGUUCUGACGUACUCGUAAUCCAGUCAGAAAAGAAGCCAUUCACGAGCCCACAUAGUUUCCUCAGUGAGACAAAGAAAUAUUUAUGAUAUGCUGAAACAGCUGAAGAAGUGUUCAGUUCAAAGCUUCAGAGGGAGGAAACAGAAACAGGAGAAACAGGAGACAAGAGAGCUCUUGGCUACAGGACUGCAAACGACACCCUAAAACGUGGAGCUGCAAACCUUGGUGAUUUAAAUGCAGGCUGCCAGGCAAAUUACAGUGACAUAAAUUUGGCCCAUGUGUUUUGCAUCGUGUGAAUAUGAAACAGGGGAAGCCAUGGAGCCGAGUUUUGUUGGCAUUGGACUCAGGAGGUUUGGUGGGCUCUUUUCAGACAUGCUGCCCACAGCAAGGUCACAUCUCAAAUAUGAACGUCACCCAGAGGUUACCCAGGUGAUCCUAGGCCAUCCUGAGCAUGCAGCUGUGCAGGGCUUGACCUUGAAGGACAGAUGGCAUCAGGGGGAAUUCUUUUAUACCUUGUAUUGGCCAGGGCUCAGCUUCUGACAUUUCUGUCUACAGACGACAAAAGGCUUUCAUUGUAAGCUGCUUUCUGAUGCGUGCUUAAAACCAAGUUGAACACAUUAAAAGGGAGAAGAAGCAGAAACUUGCUCACUGUGCUCUGUGAAGAAUUAAAAAAAUUUUAUGGAAGUCGAUGAAAGGGAAAUAGAUUUUUGAAAUCU